AUUAAUCAAGCACAUAUUACGACUCAGGCUCCUGCUAUAACAAGAAGGACCUGGGGACAGUGAUGGAGCCCUCAAAGUGAAGAUAGGAUCCCCAACUCUGGAGGAGACAUGGUAAUAGAUGCCAGGAGGGGAAGGUGCCCUCAACACCAACAUCAGAAAGCCUCCUUCAUGGAGUAAUUAUGGUUUUCAAGUUCUCCUGCUGGGAAGAAAAGAUGUCCCCUUUGCUCCCUCCUGCUCAAUGGACCCCUAUAAGGGAGAGAAAAGUGGCCGCUGCUAAGCUCUGGGUCUUUUAAAAAUAACAUUGUUUCUUCCUUCCUCUGGUUUUCUCUCUUUGUGUCUGUAUAUUUAUCUUGGUUUUUUUUUCCUAGCAGGAUGCUUUGAUAUGAUAUAAAACAAAUUGAAAUCAUCUACAUAAUAACUUAAUUACCAUCCUGAACAAUUUUUCACUAGAGGAUUGUUUCAAGCAGAAAGAGCAGUCCCCACACCACUAGGCAAAGAUUGAUUGUUCUACGGCUGUGGUGAUAACCAACAGAGCCCGUUUAACCCACCUAAUCGAUCAAUGACAACUUGCUUCAGUGAACAUGCCUCUGAAAGACAACCAGUGACACUCGCACACUUUUAAAGUCAGCCAGUCAGCAGCCGACUUACUCCAGGAAACAUGCUUUUAAGGCUGACGUCAACACACUGUCAACAUAUUCUCCUGUUUUGCCAGGAAAGCCAAAGUCUCAAGAAUAUCAAGGAGCAGAGGCUUCCCAGACCUCAACUUCUGACUCCUGGCGCUCGAACACCGCUCAAACAGGAAGACAAGACAAGAGACAAUGGCGAAGGAUGCCCACCUGCCAUCCUCCUAUCUCACCCUCCCCGCCCCCCCACCAGCCUUGCUGCAAGCAGCCUCUCAAGGCCAAAUGCAGGCUGGUGGGAAAACGCCAGCCUGCACAGCUACACGCGCCCCCUCCUCUACCCAAAACCCCAAAUAAAAAUCCCUACCCAUUCCUCAUCGGGGAGCUAGCAAUUUUU
rnacentral:lncRNA from 1 species